UACGUAGGUGGCAAGCGUUGUCCGGAAUUAUUGGGCGUAAAGCGCGCGCAGGCGGUUUUUUAAGUCUGGGGUUUAAGUUCGGGGCUCAACCCCGUAUCGCCCUGGAAACUGGGGAACUGGAGUGCAGGAGAGGAAAGUGGAAUUCCACGUGUAGCGGUGAAAUGCGUAGAGAUGUGGAGGAACACCAGUGGCGAAGGCGACUCUUUGGCCUGUAACUGACGCUGAGGCGCGAAAGCGUGGGGAGCAAACAGG
rnacentral:rRNA from 1 species